GUGUUGGCCGCGGCGCGCGGCCCCACCCACCCGUGUAGGCCCUUCCGCCCGCUCGCCCGCCCCUAAGCAAGGCGCCUGGAGGGCCUCCGGCCUGGGGACAUGACCACGCUGUCCCCAGCUGUCAUCCCUACCUCUCUACAACGUUCUAGGCCGGUGUGGAAUCCUUGGGCUACUCGGAACCGUUCCCUGCGCCUGAGGGUGCUGAUCAAUGGGGCUGAUUGGCCGAGAAGCUCUCCCAGGCCCAGCGGCCCCACCCUCUUUUAGGGCUGCACCAGCUCCUCUGUCUCCAGGCCGCGAGUUUCCAAAGGACCAGCACAAACCAAUCAACUCUAGGACUCUCCAACUAAUGAGUGAUGCGAGCUUCUAUCUAUAUGACGGUGGUGGAGGUGCAUGCUUUCAAUCCUAGCACUCAGGAAGCAGAGGCGGAUG